UACGAAGGGGGCUAGCGUUGCUCGGAAUUACUGGGCGUAAAGCGCGCGUAGGCGGUCUUUUAAGUCGGGGGUGAAAUCCUGGAGCUCAACUCCAGAACUGCCUUCCGAUACUGGAAGACUCGAGUCCGGGAGAGGUGAGUGGAACUGCGAGUGUAGAGGUGAAAUUCGUAGAUAUUCGCAAGAACACCAGUGGCGAAGGCGGCUCACUGGCCCGGCACUGACGCUGAGGUGCGAAAGCGUGGGGAGCAACAGG
rnacentral:rRNA from 1 species